GAGCAAUCAGCUCCCGACUCUGGAGGUUUCCUUUUGUUAAAGCAAGGCGCAGCCGAGCAGACAGCGGUUCCCUUCGGCCGCUUUGCCAUUACCGCCAGGAGCUGCGCGUAGAGCCCGGCAGAAAGGCCCCUCCGUGCCAGCGCCUUUAAGUCCCCCCCCGCUUAAUGGAAGGCAGUGACACUAAUGCCAGAUUUUGCGCAGGAAAGCCCCAUAACGCUGGCCAUUGUUCGGUGAUUUAACUGGCGCGCUGGCCAGAGGUCACUCCAAUAGCAUCCUUCUCCCGCAGGCGCGACCCCGCUGCCUGCCAGGGUGGGACCCACCGGGCUGCUGCUUCCCGCUGCGCGUCCAGAAGGGAAGGGGCAGGAGUCGGGUUUUUGCUCGGGAGCGGUGAGCUGGGGAGCGUGGCUCCAAACCCCUCGCUGAACCCUUGCGCCCAUUGCCGGAGUUUCAAAAUAAACCUUUUUUAAUCAUUA